GACGAACGCUGGCGGCGUGCCUAAUACAUGCAAGUCGAACGCAGUGGGGACGGGUGAGUAACACGUGGGUAACCUCCCAUCAGAGGGGAUAACACUUGGAAACAGGUGCUAAACAGAUACUGUUGGCUGAACACUCGGUGCAUGCUCUAGUUGGUGAGGUAACGGCUCACAAAGGCCACGAUGCAUAGCCGACCGAGAGGGGGGAUCGGCAACACUGGGACUGAGACACGGCCAAGACGCCUACGGGAGGAAGCAGUAGGGAAUCUGCGGCAAUGGACGAAAGUCUGACCGAGCAACGCCGCGUGAGUGAAGAAGGUUUUCGGAUCGUAAAACUCUGUUGUUAGAGAAGCGGUAUCUAACCAGAAAGCCACGGCUAACUACGUGCCAGCAGCCGCGGUAAUUC
rnacentral:rRNA from 1 species